rnacentral:rRNA from 1 species
UACAGAGGGUGCAAGCGUUAAUCGGAAUUACUGGGCGUAAAGCGUGCGCAGGCGGUGAUGUAAGACAGGUGUGAAAUCCCCGGGCUUAACCUGGGAACUGCAUUUGUGACUGCAUCGCUGGAGUGCGGCAGAGGGGGAUGGAAUUCCGCGUGUAGCAGUGAAAUGCGUAGAUAUGCGGAGGAACACCGAUGGCGAAGGCAAUCCUCUGGGCCUGCACUGACGCUCAUGCACGAAAGCGUGGGGAGCAAACAGG